rnacentral:rRNA from 1 species
UACAGGGGGGGCAAGCGUUGUUCGGAAUUACUGGGCGUAAAGGGCCAGUAGGCGGCCAACUAAGUCACACGUGAAAUCCCCAGGCUUAACCUGGGAACUGCGUGUGAUACUGGAUGGCUUGAAUUCGGGAGAGGGAUGCAGAAUUCCAGGUGUAGCGGUGAAAUGCGUAGAUAUCUGGAGGAAUACCGGUGGCGAAGGCGGCAUCCUGGACCGACACUGACGCUGAGGCGAGAAAGCUAGGGUAGCAAACGGG